rnacentral:rRNA from 1 species
GACGAACGCUGGCGGCGUGCUUAACACAUGCAAGUCGUACGGUAAGGCCCUUUCGGGGGUACACGAGUGGCGAACGGGUGAGUAACACGUGAGUAACCUGCCCUUGACUUUGGGAUAACUUCAGGAAACUGGGGCUAAUACCGGAUAGGAGCUCCUGCUGCAUGGUGGGGGUUGGAAAGUUUCGGCGGUUGGGGAUGGACUCGCGGCUUAUCAGCUUGUUGGUGGGGUAGUGGCUUACCAAGGCUUUGACGGGUAGCCGGCCUGAGAGGGUGACCGGCCACAUUGGGACUGAGAUACGGCCCAGACUCCUACGGGAGGCAGCAGUGGGGAAUAUUGCACAAUGGGCGGAAGCCUGAUGCAGCAACGCCGCGUGCGGGAUGACGGCCUUCGGGUUGUAAACCGCCUUCGCCUGUGACGAAGCGUGAGUGACGGUAAUGGGUAAAGAAGCACCGGCUAACUACGUG